rnacentral:rRNA from 1 species
UAAUACGGAGGGUGCAAGCGUUGUUCGGAAUCAUUGGGCGUAAAGCGCGUGUAGGCGGCUUGGCAAGUCGGUUGUGAAAGCCCGGGGCCCAACCCCGGAAUUGCAGCUGAAACUGCCUCGCUAGAGUCCCGGAGAGGAAGGCAGAAUUCCCGGUGUAGGGGUGAAAUCCGUAGAUA